UACGAAGGGGGCUAGCGUUGUUCGGAAUUACUGGGCGUAAAGCGCGCGUAGGCGGCUUGGCAAGUCGAUGGUGAAAGCCCGGAGCUCAACUCCGGAAUGGCCAUUGAAACUGCUUGGCUUCGAGUGCGGGAGAGGUGAGUGGAAUUCCCAGUGUAGAGGUGAAAUUCGUAGAUAUUGGGAAGAACACCGGUGGCGAAGGCGGCUCACUGGCCCGUUACUGACGCUCAGGCGCGACAGCGUGGGGAUCAAACAGG
rnacentral:rRNA from 1 species